GUCUCAUGCAGAACAAUGCUAGACCUAUUCUCAGGUUGGCUUAAUCAACCUCUUCAAUGGUGGGCACAGAGGAGGCACCACCAGAUGGGGGAGCUCCACCACCAGGAAAGCCCCAAAACAUUCCUCCCAGCACGCCUCCUGCGCUCUGGUACAGCUUGGUCAUGAUGGGGUUGCAGACUUUCUCUAGCUCUUUCUGCUAUGUUCAAAUUCUUCCUUAUCAGCAGUCUGGUUCUUAUCAAACCAGUUGAUGACUUCAUUACACUUGUCAAGAAUCUUCUGUUUGUCCUCAUUGUUGAUUUUGCACUGAAAUUUUUCAUUUUCAAUGGUUGCUUUCAUGUUGAAUGUGUGAGAUUCAAGUGAAUUCUUGGAAGACACCUUGUCCCACUGCGUCUCAUCUUCAGCUUUGUACUUCUCGGCUUCCUGGACCAUGAGCUCAAUGUCUCCCUUGCUCAAGCAGCCCUUGUCCUUUGUGAUGGCAAUCUCGUUCUCUUUUCCUGUGCUCUUAUCCACAGCAGAGACCCUGAGGAUGCCAUUAGCAUCAAUAUCAAAAGUGACUUCAAUCUUAGGAAAGGGGUAGGAAUAGUGGUAUUGCCCUUGAUAAGGCAGUCAUGACUCCUCUACCAGUUUCAAUGCCNNNNNNNNNNNNNNNNNNNNNNNNNNNNNNNNNNNNNNNNNNNNNNNNNUCCACUUACCAUACAGUGCUCAUAAAGUGCAAUGUUUAUUUCCUUCCCCUGCACACACAUUCCAUAUUCAAGUAUCAAGGAUUCCUAGUUUAUUUACUACAGCAGCUUGAUUUUAAAACUUCCAUGGCAUUUGCUACCGAUUUGGGUCCUUCAAACGUCUCAUGCAGAACAAUGCUAGACCUAUUCUCAGGUUGGCUUAAUCAACCUCUUCAAUGGUGGGCACAGAGGAGGCACCACCAGAUGGGGGAGCUCCACCACCAGGGAAGCCCCAAAACAUUCCUCCCAGCACGCCUCCUGCGCUCUGGUACAGCUUGGUCAUGAUGGGGUUGCAGACUUUCUCUAGCUCUUUCUGCUAUGUUCAAAUUCUUCCUUAUCAGCAGUCUGGUUCUUAUCAAACCAGUUGAUGACUUCAUUACACUUGUCAAGAAUCUUCUGUUUGUCCUCAUUGUUGAUUUUGCACUGAAGUUUUUCAUUUUCAAUGGUUGCUUUCAUGUUGAAUGUGUGAGAUUCAAGUGAAUUCUUGGAAGACACCUUGUCCCACUGCGUCUCAUCUUCAGCUUUGUACUUCUCGGCUUCCUGGACCAUGAGCUCAAUGUCUCCCUUGCUCAAGCAGCCCUUGUCCUUUGUGAUGGCAAUCUCGUUCUCUUUUCCUGUGCUCUUAUCCACAGCAGAGACCCUGAGGAUGCCAUUAGCAUCAAUAUCAAAAGUGACUUCAAUCUUAGGAAAGGGGUAGGAAUAGUGGUAUUGCCCUUGAUAAGGCAGUCAUGACUCCUCUACCAGUUUCAAUGCCAAGAGAAAGAGGAGUGACAUUCAACAGCAGCAAAUCUUGAACAUUUUCAGAUAUUUCUCCAGGAAGAAUGGCUGCCUGGCCAGCUGCAUCAUAAGCAACAGCCUCAUCAGGGUUGAUGGUCUUAUUCAGUUCCUUUCCAUUGAAGAAGUCUUGAAGAAGUCUAUGAACUUGGGAAUAUGGAUAGAACCACCCACCAGGACAAUAUCAUGGAUCCAAGACUUGUCUAGUUUGGCAUCCCAAAGGGCUUUUUCUACAGGGUCCAGGGUGCCGUGGAACAGGUCAGCACUUAAUUCUUCAAACUGGGCGUGAGUAAUAGAGGUAUAGAAGUUGAUUCCUUCAUACAAAGAAUCACUCUCAAUACUGGCCUGGGUGCUGGGGGGCGCCUGGGGGGGCGCCUGGGUGGCUCAGUCGGUUGAGCGUCCGACUUCAGCUCAGGUCAUGAUCUCAAGGUCCGUGAGUGCGAGCCCCGCGUCGGGCUCUGGGCUGAUGGCUCAGAGCCUGGAGCCUGCUUCCGAUUCUGUGUCUCCCUCUCUCUCUGCCCCUCCCCCGUUCAUGCUCUGUCUCUCUCUGUCUCAAAAAUAAAUAAACGUUAAAAAAAUUAAAAAAAAAAAAAAACACUGGCCUGGGUGCUGGAAGAAAGUAUAUGCUUAGCACAUUUGCGAGCAGUAUGGAGGUGACGGACUGCCCUCUUGUUCUCGCUGAUGUCCUUCUUACAUUUACACUUGAACUCUGCAAUAAAAUGGUUGACCAUUCGGUUGUCAAAGUCUUUUUCACCUAAGUGGGUGUCUCCAGAUGUAGAUUUCACCUCAAGGAUCCCAUCUUCAAUAGUGAGAGCUGACACAUCAAAAGCGCCACUUCCGAAGUCAAAGAUGAGCACAUUCCUUUCAGCUCCAACCUUUUUGUCUAAGUCAUAAGCAACAGCCACAGCAGUUGGUUCAUUGAUGAAUCUGAGUACACUGAGGCCUGCAACAGGUCAGCAUCAUUGCUAGCUUGACGCUGAGCACCAUUGAAGUAAGUAGGUACUGCGACAACAGCCUUGGGAACAGUCUUCCCGAGAUAGGCCUCUGCAAUUUCCUUCAUCUUUGUCAAAACCAGAGAGGACGUCUCUUCUGGAUAGACGUCUCUCCCUUGUAUUCUGCUUGGACUUUGGGCCUGCCAGAAUCAUUCACCACCAUGAAGGGCCAAUGCUUCCUAUCGGACUGGACAACAGCAUCGUCGAAUCUACGUCCAAUCAGGUGCUUGGCAUCAAAAACCGUGUUGCUGGGAUUCAUUGCGACUGGAU
rnacentral:lncRNA from 1 species